UCCCUGGAGGACUAGUGGUUAGGCUUCGGUGCUCUUACCGCUGCGGCCCAGGUUCAAUUCCCAGCCAGGGAA
rnacentral:tRNA from 1 species